rnacentral:lncRNA from 1 species
AUGGGACAGGACCACACAGGGAGCUAUCAGUGCUACUACAGAACCCCCGCUGGCUGGUCAGAGCCCAGUGACCCCCUGGAGCUGGUGGUGACAGGACCCUACAGCAAACCCAGCCUCUCAGCCCUGCCGAGCCCUGUGGUGACCUCGGGAGGGAACGUGACCCUCCAGUGUGCCUCCUAUCAUGGAUUUAACAGAUUCCUUCUGACCAAGGAAGGAGAAGACAAGGCCUCUUGGACCCUGGAUGGAGAGCGACGCCAUGACUGGCAGAUGCAGGCCCUGUUCCCCGUGGGCCCCGUGACCCCCGGAAAUGGGUGGACGUUCAGAUGCUACGGCUUUAACAGGGACACCCCCCGGGUGUGGUCAGCCCCCAGCAACCCCCUGGAGCUCCUGGUCCCAGGGCUGUCUGGGAAGCCCUCCCUCCUGACCCCGCAGGGCCCCGUCGUCACCUCUGGACAGAACCUGACCCUCCAGUGUCGCUCUGACGUCGGCUACGCCAGAUUCGCUCUGUCCAAGGAGGGGGGACAGAACCUCCCCCAGCGCCCUGCCCAGAGGCCCCAGGGAGGGCUCUCUCAGGCCGACUUCCCCCUGGGCCCUGUGGGCACCGUCCACGGGGGCCGGUACAGAUGCUACGGUGGACACGGCCUCUCCUCUGAGUGGUCGGCCCCCAGCGAGCCCCUGGAGCUGCUGGUGGCAGGUGAGGGGCCAGCGGGUCAGUCGGGGACCAGACUCUGCACAGGCCCCACCGGGGAGCCCCAGGGGUGAUGCUGGGACCAGGGGGAGGGGUCACAGGGAGGGACAGAGAGACGGGGUGGGGGAGGGGAGAGACUCGGAGAGACAGAGACAGCGCUGAGGGGCCAGAGAGGCCCGAGGAGUCUCGCUCAGAACCCGCCCGGCGCCCGCACCCCCUCCCCCUCUGCAGGACGGCUCAGAGACAGCCCCUCCCUCUCGGUGCGGCCCGGCCCCGCGGUGGCCCCGGGGGAGAGUGUGACCCUGCUGUGUCAGUCAGGAGACAGGACGGACACUUUCCUUCUGUCCAAGGAGGGGGCAGCCCAGCGCCCCCUGCGUCUGCACUCCCAGGACCAAGACGGGCGGUACCAGGCCGAGUUCUCCUUGAGCCCUGUGACCUCAGCCCACGGGGGCACCUACAGGUGCUACCGCUCACUCAGCACAGACCCCUACCUGCUGUCCCAGCCCAGUGAGCCCCUGGCCCUCGUGGUCUCAGGUGAGGCCCCAUCUGUCCUUCUGACUCAGCAGCUCGGGGCUGUGUACCCUGGGAGCGCAGGGAGGUCGUGGAGGAGGGGGCACUGAGGGAGGGGCCCCUGAGGGAGGGGCUUCGGAGCCCAUGCCUCACCCCUUCCUUUGUCACUGAGGUUGUGGAGGAGCAGGUGGGCAGUGGAAGGGUCUCAGGGAGGCCACAGGGCCGUGCAGCGCAGAAGGGAGUGAGGUGGGGACCCUGGGUCAGCCCGGCACACCCCUUCCUGGGCUCAUUCCCAGGACCCAUGGGCCCAGACUCCACCCUCGGGCCCCAAUCCAACCACUGGGGAGUCAUGGGGCUAUGUGCUCAGGGGUGACAGCCCGCCCCAGGGCGGUGUGGGAGCCGGAAGAUCUAAUACCCGCUGAGGUCAUCAAGGAUUCGCUGGGCGUGGAGCAGAGAUGGGGCUGUGGAGGGGGAAGUGGCCCCGCCCCCAUCCCUUUGCUGACCCCCAGGGGGCUCUAGGCAUCAGACCCAUCAGCUCCACCCCUCAGUGGAGUCAGGAACUGCAGAGAGGGGAGCAGGCUCUUGAGGAGGUGGUGGCGGGUCCGGGGGCAGGCUGAAUAUGCCCCAGUUCAAGCGCCUCCGGAGACUCUGAUGUGGACUCCCUCACCCUCACCACACCCGCGCACAGGCCUCAGUUUCUCCCAGUGUAAAAGGAGAGACCCGUGGCCCAGAUCUUGGGUUUCCUCAGUUCUGAGCUGGGUGUGACCCCCAUCAGGUGAGGAGCACAGGGAGCCCCUGAGGAGGUGACUGUGGGGCCUGUCCCCUCCACUUCAGCAUGGAGACAGCAUGUGGCAGGGGUGGGAGGGUGGGGACCUAGAGACCCCUCCACGCAGCCCGCCCCUCCCCCGCCCCAGCUGAGGUGGGGGAGGGGAGGGGACAAGGGAGGGCCCUCAGCUCCAGCUGAGACCCUCGGACAGCCCCUGCAGGUGAGGGGCCCCCAGAGCAGGAAGCUGGUGUGCUCCUGGGGGCCAGCUCAGAAGGAGCUCGGGGUGCCCAUGGCCCUGGUUCCAGUCCCGGCUCUGCCCGCUCCAGGCUGGGCGACUUGGGGGCCCGUGAUCUCCCCCUCUGGGCCUCAGGCUCCUCGUCUGUAAACGGGUGGGAUGGGCUGGAGAUGGACGCACAGACCCCAGCACCAGUGCUUACACAGCAGGUGCCCAGUUAAGCGGCACCCCUGGCUCACUCGGGCGUCUCUGGCGCCCCAGGCCUCACGUGGUACCUGAGUGUCCUCAUCGGGGUCUCGGUGACCUUCGUCCUGCUGCUCCUCAUCCUCCUCAUCCUCUUCCUCCGACACCGGGGUCAGGACAGAUGCAGGAAGUCAGGUGAGUAGGGAACGGGGUGACUCGGACCCCUGGCGGCCUUAGGGCAUCAGACAGAGGGAAACCGAGGACAUGGGAGCGGGCUGCUUAGAGAUUUUUUUUCCACAGUAUGGAGAUUCCUUAAAAACUAAAAGCAGAAUUAUCAUAUGAUCCGGCAAAUCCACUGCUGGGUAUAUGUGUCAAUAAAACGAAAACAGUAAUUUGAAAAGAUACAAACAUUCCAAUAUUCAUAUAGGCAACUUAUAUGUGCGCAAGUCAGCUGUCCAGCAGCAGAUGAAUGGAGAAAAUGUGGUGUGUGUGUACAUAUAUGUAUGUGUAUGUAUGCAUAUAUAUGUACACACACAUACACAUACAAUGGAAUAUUACUCAGCCAUAAGAAAGAAGACAAUUCUGCCAUUUGCAACAGCAUACAUGGACCUAGAGAGUAUUACACCCAUUGAAUUAAGUCAGAGAAAGGUAGAUGAUUUAUGAUGUCAUUUGUACAUAGUGAAUCUGGAAAAUAAUGCAAAGGCAUGUGUAUGAGAAACGGAAACGGACGCCUUGAUGUGGAAAAAUAACUAAUGGUUCCCGGGGAGACGGGCAGAUUAGGGGUAUGGACUAAGAGACACAGACUGCUACAUAUGAGAGAAACAGGAAGGAUAUACCGGGUCGCACAGGGAUGUAGCAAGCGUUUUGUAAUAACUUUAAAUGGAGUAUAACCUAUAAAAACAUUGAAUCAUAUGUUGUAUGCCUGAAACUAAUAUAUUAGAAAUCAACGAUAUUUCACUUAAAAAUUUUUCCAGAAUCUCAAAUCUGAAAAUCUAGUGGAAAAAAACACCCAGUGUCAGCUCACGUGCACUAGUUUAAGCCAUUCCCCUCCUUCUCAAUGUCACGCGCUCGAGCCCAGGUUGCCUUCUCUCCUCCUGAAUCCCACGCGUAGGGCGGAGGGCACCACAUCCCCGGGCCGAGCCUCUGUCCCGGGACCCCGCCCAGGCCUAGGCUGAUUUCCAACCUCCCACAGGGGCCGCAGACCCAGGGCCUGAGGACAGAGGCCCGCAGAGCAGGUAACUCCCACCCCGACA